GACGAACGCUGGCGGCGUGCUUAACACAUGCAAGUCGAGCGAUGAAGCUUCCUUCGGGAAGUGGAUUAGGGGCGGACGGGUGAGUAACACGUGGGUAACCUGCCUCAAAGUGGGGGAUAGCCUUCCGAAAGGAAGAUUAAUACCGCAUAACAUAAGAGAAUAGCAUGAUUUUCUUAUCAAAGUUUUAUUGCUUUGAGGUGGACCCGCGGCGCAUUAGCUAGUUGGUAAGGUAACGGCAUACUAAGGCAACGAUGCGUAGCCGACCUGAGAGGGUGCUAGGCCACCUUGCAACUGAGACACGGUGCAGGAUCGUACGGGAGGCAGCAGUGGGGAAUAUUGCGCGAUGGGGGAAACCCUGACGUAGCAGUGCCGCGUGGGUGAUGAAGGUCUUCGGAUUGUAAAGCCCUGUUUUCUAGGACGAUAAUGACGGUACUAGAGGAGGAAGCCACGGCUAACUACGUGCCAGCCGCCGCCGUAAAAC
rnacentral:rRNA from 1 species